rnacentral:lncRNA from 1 species
CCAUCAGCAGGGGGGUGGCCAGCAGGGACAGGGAGGGGAUUGUCCCUCUCUGCUCUGCCCUUAUGGGGCCCCAUCUGCAGCACUGCACCCAGGUGUGGGGCCCCCAAUACAGGAAAGGCAGGGAGCUGUUGGAGAGGGUCCAGAGGAGGACACAGAGAUGCUCAGAGGGCUGCAGCACCUCCCCUACAAAGACAGGCUGAGGGAGC